GCCAGAAGAUGAGCUCGCGUCUGAUUAGCUAGUUGGUGGGGUAAAAGCCUACCAAGGCGACGAUCAGUAGCUGGUCUGAGAGGAUGAGCAGCCACACUGGGACUGAGACACGGCCCAGACUCCUACGGGAGGCAGCAGUGGGGAAUUUUCCGCAAUGGGCGAAAGCCUGACGGAGCAAGACCGCGUGAGGGAGGAAGGCCUUUGGGUUGUAAACCUCUUUUGUCAGGGAAGAAAAAAAUGACGGUACCUGACGAAUCAGCCUCGGCUAACUCCGUGCCAGCAGCCGCGGUAAUACGGAGGAGGCAAGCGUUAUCCGGAAUCAUUGGGCGUAAAGCGUCCGUAGGUGGCCAAGUAAGUCUGCUGUCAAAGACCACAGCUUAACUGUGGAAAGGCAGUGGAAACUGC
rnacentral:rRNA from 1 species